AUUUAUCACUGGGGGUGCCUUCGGGCUGAGAGAUACCCUAUGAACCUGAACCGGGUAAUGCCGGCGGAGGGAAGUGCAAAAGGUUUUAC
rfam:Clostridiales bacterium S7-1-4 contig53, whole genome shotgun sequence.